rnacentral:rRNA from 1 species
CACGGGGGGAGCAAGCGUUGUUCGGAAUCACUGGGCGUAAAGGGAGUCUAGGCGGUCAGGUAAGUGGGAUGUGAAAUCCCUCGGCUCACCCGAGGACCUGCAUUCCAAACUGUCUGGCUUGAGUAUGGGAGAGGAUGAGGGAAUUCCUGGUGUAGCGGUGAAAUGCGUAGAUAUCAGGAGGAACACCGGUGGCGAAGGCGCUCAUCGUGGCCCAAUACUGACGCUGAAGCUCGAAAGCUAGGGGAGCAAACGGG